GAAAGAAAAAGCAGAACACGCCAUUAACAAGGCCAGAACCCCGACUGCCAUUCCUGGACGGGAGCCACCAACACCCGCAAAAUCGAUCGAUUCAGCCUGGGACGCUUGCUGUUUCCGAACCUCUGUUGCCACCUAUCCCAGUUUGGAGGGAAUUUUCCCAAGGAUGGUGAAGAAGGGAUUUCCACACGCCGCCUCACUCAGCCCCGCACCCCUGGCCACCAGCCAGGACUUAGGGUGCUUCAUGACCACACUGCUGUAGGAAGCCAUAAGUUGGAAAUCAACGGGCCUGGCUUGAAGUGUGGCCUUAGGCAACACCGUUCUCAUCUACAUCUGGAUUCUCCAACAAAGCUGGGAAAAAAACGAUCCAAGGGAAGCCAAUCAAAGAGCCUGGAUUGCCAGUCUUCCCUGCUGCGAUCUCCGCCUGCGAUUCUCCAGGGGAAAUGUCCUUUAUGACCUUACAGCUCACCUGGAACCCUCCACCUAGGGCCCGAGGCAGCACAUCCUCUCGUGCCCGGGCACUUCCAGGCAUUGCCCUGAGUACUGGGCACUUCACACACUGGGCUGGACCACUCACCGGAGUGAAUAAGGAGGCUUGAAGCUGUCCUGGUACAACAAUGGAAUGAAGCGCUAGUCUCAGCUCAGCCACUUGGAAUAUGACUCCAACUCUCACAUUUCUGUGGGGUGUAUUCAUUUCAGCUUUUUGUUUGGUGCUAUGGGGAGGGAAGGGCCCUCAGACUGGCAUCCUUUUUCUUCCAGGAUGAUGAUGAAUAUUAUGAAAGUCUGAGGCUGUUUUUAAAAUUCUGCUCUAAUACGUUGUUUUUCUGUGCAUAAGAAUUAUGUAUUCUUAGCUGCAAAACUGGAAUCCGUCUGCUCAUGGAUAAACUUCUGGCCAUGAGCAUGUACCUUUCAGGUAACUUCCCUAUCAGAGAAGCUUACAAUCAAGAAUCCUACUUCCCUAGUUCCCUACACAGGCCCAGGAGGCUUUUGGUGGUAUCCGCUGGACUUUUGAAAAUUAGGGAAUUUCUCCUACUCUGAACUCUACCAGGAAUCACAUAUCAAGAUCUCAGUACCAUCUUACCUAGACCCUCUUGACCUCUUCUUUCUCCAUAAUCUCUUUCUAGCUCAUGUCAUCCAGACUCGAGGGCCCCAUUCUCAGUUUGACACUGAGGACACCCACGCUAUUAUCUCUGGCUGUGACCUUUCCCACGAGCUCCAAAUUCACACCAUCUUUUGACGUCUCCACUUAACUUCCCCAUUUCGGUGUCUCAAACUUGACAAUUCAAAACAGAACUCCCUCCCACUUCCAAACUGGUUUCCUACCCAACUUUCCCAGGCCCCCAGUUUCUCAAGUCAGAAAUCUAUGAGUCAUCCUUGAUGUUUGCCAUUCCCUCAUCCCUCCCAUCCAACCCAUUCGUAGGCUCUUGGGAAUCUACCUCCAAAAUGUCUCUGGAAUCCAUCCUCUUCUCUCCACCUCCACUGCCAACCGCCUCUCACCUGCAAUAGCUCUGAGGCAGCCUCCCCACUUCUUCUGCCUCCCAUCCCCACCCCUACAUAUUCCUGUCCUAUCUCCACCCAGAAGCAAACAAGAUCUUCUUUAACUGUAAAUUGGUUCACAUCUCCCCUGCUUAGAACUUUCCAAGGCCUUGACAUUAUUCCAAGAUCAAGACCAAACUCUUGACUGUGGCCAGUGAGACCUUUCCUGAACUGGUCCUACCUACCUCUGCAAACCCAUCUAGUGACACCUUUCCCUUAGCUUGCCUCCAACAUAGUGUAUUAGUUUCCUAUGGCUGCUGCAGGAAAUGACACAAAUUAUCCCCUUAUAGUCGUGGAAGCCAGAAGUCCAAAAUGGGCUGGAGCCAAGGCAGGCAGGGCUAUGCUGCUUGCAGAGGUUCUAGGGGAGAAUCUAUUUCUUGGUCUUCUUUGGCUUCUAGAGCUGCAAUCCUUGGCUCAUGGCGCCUUCCUCCACCUUCAGAGCCAGCAGUGUAGCAUCUUACUUGGUGAUCACAUUUCUUUCUUCUCCAGUGUCAUAUUUCCCUUUGCUUUACAUUGUCCUUUAAAUUUCUCUUAUAAGGAAACUGCGAUUGCAUUUAAGACCCACCCAGGUAAUCCAAGAUGAUCUUCCCAUCUCAAGACCCUUAACUGAAUCCCACCUCCAAAGUCCCUUUUGCCAGGUAAGGCAACAUUCCCAGGUCCCGGGGAUUAGGAUCUACAUAUGUUCGGGAGUGACUAUUGAGCCUACCAUGCAUACCACGCUCCUUCCCUCACCAGGGUCUUUGUACCUCUUGUCCCCCAUUACUAGAAUGCUCCCUUCUUCCCUCUCACUCUUUGCUUGGCCAUAUCUUUCUCAUUCUUGGGGACACAGCUUACCUGGCACCUCCUCAGACAACCUGUCUCGGACCAGCCCCUUAACAGCCUGAAGACUUUUUUUUUUUUUUUUUUGAUACGGAGUCUUGCUCUGUUGCCCAGGCUAGAGUGCAGUAGUGUGAUCUCAGCUCACUGCAACCUCUGCCUCCCGGGUUCAAGCAGUUCUCCUGCUUCAACCUCCCAAGUAGCUGGGAUUACAGGCACCUGCUACCAUGCCCGGCUAAUUUUUGUAUUUUUAGUAGAGACAGGGUUUCACCAUGUUGGCCAGGCUGGUCUCGAACUCCCGACCGCAAGUGAUCUGCCCACCUUGGCCUCCCAAAGUGCUGAGAUUACAGGCAUGAGCCACAGUGCCUGGAUGAAGACUUUUUCAUGUCUUUUUCAACUGACUUGUUUUCUGCCUGCCUCUCCCUCCACCCUCACCUAAGCACCUUGAGGACCAUGUCUGUUUUGUCAAUCCACUGGUCAUCCUAAUAUAACUGGUUAAUAAAUCAUUGCUGAAUUUAUUUAUUUAUUUAUUUAUGACAGUCUCGCUGUGUCGCCCAGGCUGGAGUGCAGUGGCAUGAUCUCAGCUCACUGCAACCUCCUCCUCCAAGAUUCAAGCGAUUCUCCUGCCUCUGCUUCCCAAGUAGCUGGGAUUACAGGCGUGCGCUGCCACACCCAGCUAACUUUUUUUUUUCUUCUUCUAUUUUUAGAGACAGGGUUUUGCCAUGUUGGCCAGGCUGGUCUUGAACUUCUGACCUCAAGUGAUCCAGCUGCCUCAGCCUCCCAAAGUGCUGAGAUUACAGGCAUGAGCCACCAUGCCUGGCCUCAUUGCUGAAUGAAUUUAAAGAUGACAAACUGACAACCCAAUACAGUGCUAUGCAAAUGGGCUGCUGUGUGUACUCCUCAGCGAAAGGAGACUCAACACCACCUUCCUCCUGAUCUGCUGUAUCAGAAACAAUGGUCUGGGCAGAACAGGGCACCAAUCACAAAGAAAACCCAUAGACACACUCCCAUGCAGGGUCCAGGGAGAUGCCACACCACCGAGUCAGCCAGACGCAAAACCUUUCAAGGAAGUAGGAUUUUACCUUGCUGGGUGACCACCUGAUCCCUUGCUUAUUAAACGCAGCUAAGCACUAUUUUAACACAAGGCCUGCAUGAGAGGCUGCUCGCUGUGGAGAGCCAGCCAUAAGUAAACCUUCUCCAUCCUUCUGUUAAAGACUCCUGGAGCCACUUUGAGGGAAUCGAGGGGGGCCAAGGGGCCUUUUCACAUGUGUUGCAGCCUUUUAGGCUGGGUACGGGGAGGCUCCUGCACAGCUGAAAACUUCAC
rnacentral:lncRNA from 10 species